CCUACGGGGUGCUGCAGUGGGGGAUAUUGCACAAUGGGGGGAACCCUGAUGCAGCGACGCCGCGUGGGUGAAGAAGCGCCUCGGCGCGUAAAGCCCUGUCAGCAGGGAAGAAAAUGACGGUACCUGAAGAAGAAGCCCCGGCUAACUACGUGCCAGCAGCCGCGGGAAUACGUAGGGGGCAAGCGUUAUCCGGAUUUACUGGGUGUAAAGGGGGCGCAGACGGCGAUGCAAGCCAGGAGUGAAAGCCCGGGGCCGAACCCCGGGACUGCUCUUGGAACUGCGUGGCUGGAGUGCAGGAGAGGCAGGCGGAAUUCCUGGUGUAGCGGUGAAAUGCGUAGAUAUCAGGAGGAACACCGGUGGCGAAGGCGGCCUGCUGGACUGCAACUGACGUUGAGGCCCGAAAGCGUGGGGAGCAAACAGGAUUAGAUACCCUUGUAGUC
rnacentral:rRNA from 1 species